GUAUCAUAGAGUCUUGCAUGGAAAAAUUAAAGAAUGAGAUUGAGCCAAGGAUGACUUGCCGAUGUUAUCAACAAAUCUUAACUGAUUUUGGUGUCCGGCAAGUUGACCUUGGCUCUGUUUCCUUCUUUUCUUUUCAAUGUCAAACUCUAGAUAU